AGUUUACUUUAUAGCAACCUAAUAAUGCCAUCGUGAGCAUUAUAUCGUUAGUAUGCUGUAUCAUAAAAAUAGUGAGUCUGGUGCUUCCUGUUGCGCAAAUGUUGUAACAACCUAUAGGUUUAUCUGUGUCAUCAUUACGCUGCAUGAAUAGAUUUGGUCUGAAAAAAACUGUAUAUUAUAGAUUAUAGAUUCAUCAAAAUCAAUAUUGAAGGGAAAGUUUUAGCAAAUCAAAUUCAUUCAUAGAUGCUAUAUAGUGUUAUUACCACUUUUAAUGAAUAGAAUGUUUUUGCAACAUACCGAAGCUUCCUUUCCACCAUGAUCAACACUUUCAACAACUAGUCGCGCCAAAAUAAAACAAACGUUUUUAUCCAAUUCUUGCUCGAUGCGAGAUAAAACGCCUUCGCCACCGCUUCCUCUAAUGCAAUGGGCCUUUAUUUCCAUUACUUUAUAUUUGAUUUUGCAUCUCAGCAGCCACCCACAGGCACAAAAACACCGCCUGGUUCGGCUGCCUUGAUUAUUGUAAUGUGCUAACCAGCUUCUAGGGUACGUCUCUCACUGGUUCCGCUCAUGAAUUCACACAUUUUGGAUCAGAUUGUGGUCCUGAAUGGACUGAGCCGACCCGCCAAAGGAAUGAACUUCAUUUAAUCAUCCUCAAAGCCGAGAGAGCAAAGACAAAACCCAUCUUGCCAGAGUGAUAAACCCAGAAAUGUUUUCAUGAUGGGGUCUCUCCUGGUCUCUCCUGGUCUCGCCUGGUCUCUCCUGGUCCCUGCUGUCCUGACGACGCCACAGAGGAGCCCUCCCAGUGCGCAGCGUAAAAGAAAUAGGGUAAUUCGACAGACUGUGAAGUGGAAAGGGAGAAGACAUAAUUAUCUCACCUUUUGAAAGUUUGAGCAGAGGUGUUGGAUUCAUACACUUCACUUAUUUGCUGCUGUUCUGCCGCAUUAAAACCCUCAAAUGCUGAAUUAUAAUCAGCUCACCAAAACCUCACAAGAGAUGCUGAAACCAAG
ensembl:lncRNA